CCUACGGGCGGCAGCAGUGAGGAAUAUUGGUCAAUGGCCGAGAGGCUGAACCAGCCAAGUCGCGUGAGGGAAGAAGGUCCUACGGGUUGUAAACCUCUUUUGCCGGGGAGCAAAGCGAGUCACGUGUGACUCAUUGAGAGUACCCGAAGAAAAAGCAUCGGCUAACUCCUUGCCAGCAGCCGCGGUAAUAUGGGGGAUACGAGCGUUAUCCGGAUUUAUUGGGCUGAAAGGGUGCGCAGGCGGAGGUGCAAGUCAGCGGUAAAAUUCCGGGGCUAAAGCCCGUACUGCCGUUGAAACUGGAUCCCUGGAGUGUGCGAGAGGUAUGCGGAAGGCGUGGUGUAGCGGUGAAAUGCAUAGAUAUCACGCAGAACUCCGAUUGCGAAGGCAGCAUACCGGCGCGCAACUGACGCUCAUGCACGAAAGCGUGGGUAUCGAACAGGAUUAGAUACCCCUGUAGUC
rnacentral:rRNA from 1 species